rnacentral:rRNA from 1 species
AGAGUUUGAUCCUGGUUCAGAUUGAACGCUAGCGGGAUGCCUUACACAUGCAAGUCGAACGGCAGCACGGACUUCGGUCUGGUGGCGAGUGGCGAACGGGUGAGUAAUGUAUCGGAACGUGCCCAGUAGCGGGGGAUAACUACGCGAAAGCGUAGCUAAUACCGCAUACGCUCUACGGGGGAAAGCAGGGGAUCGUAAGACCUUGCACUAUUGGAGCGGCCGAUAUYGGAUUASCUAGUUGGUGGGGUAACGGCUCACCAAGGCGACGAUCCGUAGCUGGUUUGAGAGGASGACCAGCCACACUGGGAYUGAGACACGGCCCAGACUCCUACGGGAGGCAGCAGUGGGGAAUUUUGGACAAUGGGGGGGACCCUGAUCCAGCCAUCCCGCGUGUGCGAUGAAGGCCUUCGGGUUGUAAAGCACUUUUGGCAGGAAAGAAACAUCAUGGGUUAAUACCCCGGAAACUGACGGUACCAGCAGAAUAAGCACCGGCUAACUACGUGCCAGCAGCCGCGGUAAUACGUAGGGUGCAAGCGUUAAUCGGAAUUACUGGGCGUAAAGCGUGCGCAGGCGGUUCGGAAAGAAAGAUGUGAAAUCCCAGAGCUUAACUUUGGAACUGCAUUUUUAACUACCGGGCUAGAGUGUGUCAGAGGGAGGUGGAAUUCCGCGUGUAGCAGUGAAAUGCGUAGAUAUGCGGAGGAACACCGAUGGCGAAGGCAGCCUCCUGGGAUAACACUGACGCUCAUGCACGAAAGCGUGGGGAGCAAACAGGAUUAGGUACCCUGGUAGUCCACGCCCUAAACGAUGUCAACUAGCUGUUGGGGCCUUCGGGCCUUGGUAGCGCAGCUAACGCGUGAAGUUGACCGCCUGGGGAGUACGGUCGCAAGAUUAAAACUCAAAGGAAUUGACGGGGACCCGCACAAGCGGUGGAUGAUGUGGAUUAAUUCGAUGCAACGCGAAAAACCUUACCUACCCUUGACAUGUCUGGAAUGCCGAAGAGAUUUGGCAGUGCUCGCAAGAGAACCGGAACACAGGUGCUGCAUGGCUGUCGUCAGCUCGUGUCGUGAGAUGUUGGGUUAAGUCCCGCAACGAGCGCAACCCUUGUCAUUAGUUGCUACGAAAGGGCACUCUAAUGAGACUGCCGGUGACAAACCGGAGGAAGGUGGGGAUGACGUCAAGUCCUCAUGGCCCUUAUGGGUAGGGCUUCACACGUCAUACAAUGGUCGGGACAGAGGGUCGCCAACCCGCGAGGGGGAGCCAAUCCCAGAAACCCGAUCGUAGUCCGGAUCGCAGUCUGCAACUCGACUGCGUGAAGUCGGAAUCGCUAGUAAUCGCGGAUCAGCAUGUCGCGGUGAAUACGUUCCCGGGUCUUGUACACACCGCCCGUCACACCAUGGGAGUGGGUUUUACCAGAAGUAGUUAGCCUAACCGCAAGGGGGGCGAUACC